AUGAGCUGGGGAAUAAACCACAGCACGAGUGAGUAUUUGAAAGCCAUCUGCAUUCACGUGGGCCCACGGAGCAGAGCCCGGAUUAGAAUGUGGGAUGCAGAGCCCUGUGCUUGCCUACAGCACCCCUCUGGCUGGGACCCUGGACCCCCUGAUGUCCUCCUGCCUGUCUCCCAAUGCCAGGAUUUGCCCGCUGAGCCACCGUCAGCCUGGCCACUCUCCCCAGGCCGGUGCGCAGGGCGGAAGGAUGUCACAACGCCACACAGUCACGCAGAGGCCCUUGUACCAUCGGCUGCUUUGUUGGGAAGAGAGGCCCCUCCCCCAGCAAGGAGCCUUUCUUCCCCGCUCUCCUCCCCCUCGCCCAGCCCUCUCUGCUUCAUCGCUGUUCUGAGGAGCGGGAGGAAUGUCAUACAUGGCGCAUCUGCUUCUCAAUAUCGUGAAGCUGCAUUAAAAUAUGUGCUCUGUGGGCGUCUGGCCCCGGACAGAGAUUUACGAGGGUUUAUCUUACACAUCUGCAGCACGAGGCUGACAAGAUACACAUUGCGUUUGUUUUCGGGAGCAGCCCUGAACUGCUCAUGGAAAGCCAGAUGGGCCAGGGCCCCACGGCUGCUGCCCGCCCAUCCUGGUCCCCUCUGA
rnacentral:lncRNA from 1 species